rnacentral:rRNA from 1 species
UACGUAGAGUGCGAGCGUUAAUCGGAAUUACUGGGCGUAAAGCGUGCGCAGGCGGUCUGUUAAGACCGAUGUGAAAUCCCCGGGCUUAACCUGGGAACUGCAUUGGUGACUGGCAGGCUUUGAGUGUGGCAGAGGGAGGUAGAAUUCCACGUGUAGCAGUGAAAUGCGUAGAGAAUGUGGAGGAAUACCGAUGGCGAAGGCAGCCUCCUGGGCCAACACUGACGCUCAUGCACGAAAGCGUGGGGAGCAAACAGG